rnacentral:ncRNA from 1 species
AUUUCGUUCCCAAAGUUACCGAGUAUAAGUCGAUAAUAUGGUUCGACGUUUCUACCUGCCACCAAUAAUGGCGGUCUAUUUGGAGGGGAAUAUGUUUA